AUUGAACGCUGGCGGCAUGCUUUACACAUGCAAGUCGAGCGGCAGCGCGGGGGCAACCCUGGCGGCGAGCGGCGAACGGGUGAGGAAUACAUCGGAACGUACCCCGGAGUGGGGGAUAACGCCGCGAAAGCGGCGCUAAUACCGCAUAUGCUCUGAGGAGGAAAGUGGGGGACCGCAAGGCCUCACGCUCUGGGAGCGGCCGAUGUCCGAUUAGCUAGUUGGUGGGGUAAUGGCUUACCAAGGCGACGAUCGGUAGCUGGUCUGAGAGGAUGAUCAGCCACACUGGGACUGAGACACGGCCCAGACUCCUACGGGAGGCAGCAGUGGGGAAUUUUGGACAAUGGGGGCAACCCUGAUCCAGCCAUUCCGCGUGAGUGAAGAAGGUCUUCGGGUUGUAAAGCUCUUUUCGGCAGGAACGAAACGGCGGGCUCUAACAUAGCCUGUCAAUGACGGUACCUGAAGAAGAAGCACCGGCUAACUACGUGCCAGCAG
rnacentral:rRNA from 1 species